CUGACCUCAAAUCAGGUAGGACUACCCGCUGAACUUAAGCAUAUCAAAAGCCGGAGGAAUACGCCCUUGUGUGCAUAAUUCUAGACAUAUGGCCUCAAAUCAGGUAGGACUACCCGCUGAACUUAAGCAUAUCAAUAAGCGGAGGA
rnacentral:rRNA from 1 species